GACGAACGCUGGCGGCGUGCUUAACACAUGCAAGUCGAACGGAAAGGCCCUGCUCUUGUGGGGUGCUCGAGUGGCGAACGGGUGAGUAACACGUGAGUAACCCGCCCCUGACAUUGGGGUAACAUCACGGAACUGGGGCUCAUACCGGAUAGGAGCUCCUGCUGCGCGGUGGGGGUUGGAAAGAUUCGGCGGUUGGGGAUGGACUCGCGGCUUAUCAGCUUGAUGGUGGGGUAGGGGCGUUCAAAGGUUUUGAAGGGUAGCCGGCCUGGGAGGGUGGCCGGCGACAUUGGGACUGAGAUACGGCGCAGACGCCUACGGGAGGCAGCAGUGGGGAAUAUGGCACAAUGGGCGGAAGCCUGAUGCGGCAGCGCCGCGUGCGGGAUGACGGCCUUCGGGUUGUAAACCGCUUUCGCCGGUGACGAAGCGGGAGUGACGGUAAUGGGUAAAGAAGCACCGGCUAACUACGUG
rnacentral:rRNA from 1 species